AUGAAGCUGGUGUAAUGGUUAUCAUGGUUGCCUUCCAGGCAAUCGAUCCGGGUUCAAAUUACCGGGCUUCGCA
rnacentral:tRNA from 1 species